GGUACCAUCUUUAUGAUACUAAUCUCUGGACACGUGCAGAUGGCACAGGAGGUGCACGCUUCGGUCCAUUCUGAGCUCCCCGCACUGCCCUGGUGUCUCAGUACAGUUGCCUGAGUUCUCCAUACUCGAGGCAUCCCCCCUCCCCCCGCCAGGCACGUGAAGGUAUGGGACAGCUUUUUCUUGCUUCAAGAUGCAGCUUGGGGGUAGGACAAAUCUUGCUUAGAUUCUACAGUGGAAGGGGGGGGACCCGGAAACCCACGGGAAGUGUCUGUUCUGUGACUCCUCAGGAUUUUCCAAACUGUCUCAUGGGUGUCAUUGGUCCCUCAAAAGAAAGAGCAGUCCUCCUGGAGGACCAGGCUGCUCAGAGUCACUGGAGCAAACGAGGAGGCUGGAGGGAGUCAGAUGUCUUACCAGCAACCUGGAUUUUAGACAAGGUGGGUAGCUGUUAUCCAGCCCUGUAUAGGAAGCUCUCCACCUCUUCCUCCUGCCUGCUUGGUACUCAGUCAGGUACUUCUGCCUUGUCCUGGCUCCUGCUUGCCAGUCUGGCUUUUUUCUGGAUGUGUGCCAGUGGUGACUUUUAGUGGAAAUGAUUACUCUCUACCGGAGCAAAGCAAACUUGGGAGGUGCUGGCUCUGGCUCCCAAGUGACUGGAGCCUGUCCCCUGGCCUUGCCCUGUGUCUUCUGGCAUGGAUUCCUGGCCACCCUUUCACCCUUGGCACAUUUCCUCUAAGCCAGUAAUUCCACCUGGGUGAGGAUUACACAAAAAAGCAGCUAACAUGUGUCCGGACAGCUGGGGGAGACUCGGGCCUCUGAGGCACAGCAAGGACAAAGCCUGAGACAUUAUCAACACGAAGAAGUAUGAGAUGAGACAGAAGUGUCCUGGAGGAAAGAGAUCAAAAGCGAGGAGGAGCUUGGGGGCCCAGAAGCGGGAGCAGGAUCAGAUUUCUCCUGUGUCCGUCCAUGGCUGGAUCGGUGGAGAUUGCGUGGAGAUGUUUGCAGCUCAUCCAGAGCACGUUUAAUCUAUAUUUAGAAAACAACCAAAAGGAAUUUAAAAGUUGAGCCUGUGACUAAAAUUUUUAGCCCGUGACUAUGAUAAUUUUUUUAAAAAAGGUUUAGUAGCCAGUGGUAAUUAUAACUGCUACCAAGGCCUAAUAACUUAUCAGUUCAACUUUGAACUCUGAAGUCUUAGUGUUGUGUGUGGUCUAUAAAUCUCAUUUUUCACAUGCCUUAAAUCACUUCCUCAGAACUUUACAACUUAGGUUCACACACCUUAAAUUAUGUCCUUAGACCUUUACAAGUUACAUAUAUUUUUUUUUAAAGAUUUAUUUAUUGUUAUAUGUAAGUACACUGUAGCUGUCCUCAGACACACCAGG
rnacentral:lncRNA from 1 species